AACGAACGCUGGCGGCAUGCCUAACACAUGCAAGUCGAACGAGACCUUCGGGUCUAGUGGCGCACGGGUGCGUAACGCGUGGGAACAUGCCCUUAGGUUCGGCAUAACUCUCCGAAAGGGGUGCUAAUACCGGAUAAUGUCUUCGGGCCAAAGAUUUAUCGCCGUUGGAUGGGCCCGCGUUGGAUUAGCUCGUUGGUAGGGUAAAAGCCUACCAAGGCGACGAUCCAUAGCUGGUCUGAGAGGAUGAUCAGCCACACUGGGACUGAGACACGGCCCAGACUCCUACGGGAGGCAGCAGUGGGGAAUAGUGGACAAUGGGCGGAAGCCUGAUCCAGCAAUGCCGCGUGAGUGAUGAAGGCCGUAGGGUUGUAAAGCUCUUUUACCCGGGAUGAUAAUGACAGUACCGGGAGAAUAAGCUCCGGCUAACUCCGUG
rnacentral:rRNA from 1 species